CUGGCAGGGUUGUUAAGGCAGUCAAUCGCAUGAUAGAGAACAUGGUGCAAAAACCACUCACCAAGGGUUUUGUUGAAGGGGUCAAUAGAAGGUCACUGUCUUUACUCAACUUAUUUUAGAUAGAAAAAUAAUAGAGACUUAGGUGCUGUGGUAUACUUUGCUUUAAUGCAUGCAGUAUGACUUGUCAUGAGAUGUGUUCCAAGAUCUUAUAUGGUGUAAAAGGCAUCAUACACACUGGAAGAGGCAGUAGCCUGAUCAACUGCUGUUUUCUUUUAACUUACAUUGUAAGUAGCUUUCUAUGCUGUGAAUGGGAAAUAGAGUUUCCAGGGUUAUCUUGGACCAAGUGAACAAGAGCUUUGUUUUGUAUAUCUUUUGUUUCUUUUCUACCCUCUAUGUUUUGAGGAUUUUGGCGAAAUUAAAGAGGGGUGAAUGUAACAGGUUAAUGAAUGACACAUAUUUGUGCAAUCUUUCAUUUUCUAUUUUGUGUAUAUGUAAUUUUAUUUCACCAAAAUCUUGGUUUCUUUCAUGAUAGCUAGGUAUUAGGCCUAUCAUUUGUUGGGUAAGUGCGCCCUCUAUUGGUUGGUUUGGUGGUUACAGGCUGCAUUUUCGUGCCUUGCUCAGUAUGUGUUUUGCUUGGCAACGAGAGAGCUACAUUCUGCAUACUGGAAGAGAAAGUAAAGUGAUUAAAAGAA